rnacentral:rRNA from 1 species
UACAGAGGGUGCAAGCGUUAAUCGGAAUUACUGGGCGUAAAGCGUGCGCAGGCGGUUUUGUAAGCCAGAUGUGAAAUCCCCGGGCUCAACCUGGGAAUGGCAUUUGGGACUGCAAGGCUGGAGUACGGCAGAGGAGACUGGAAUUCCUGGUGUAGCAGUGAAAUGCGUAGAUAUCAAGAGGAAUACCGAUGGCGAAGGCAGGUCUCUGGGCUGAUACUGACGCUCAUGCACGAAAGCGUGGGGAGCAAACAGG